rnacentral:rRNA from 1 species
AGCUCUAAUAGCGUAUAUUAAAUUUGUUGCGGUUGAAAAGCUCGUAGUUGAAGCGAGGACAAGCGGCAAGAGGGUCCACCCGAAGGGUGCUGUACACUCGGUCGGUUGUCUGCCGGGGAGGGUAACCUUCCUGGAAUGUUGGUCUGGGCGCCGUCGCUCUUCACUGGGCGACGGAGUUGCCUUCCAACAAGUUUACUUUGAGUAAAUUAGAGUGUUCAAAGCAGGCAAAAGUUGUAUAAGCCACUGAAUACUAGAGCAUGGGAUAAUAGAAUAGGACUGUGGUUCUAUUGUGUUUGGUUUUCGCGAAUGUGAAUAGAAACAUAGUAAUGAUUAAGAGGGACAGUUGGGGGCAUUCGUAUUUGCCAGUCAGAGGUGAAAUUCAUAGAUUUGGUAAAGACGA